GCACCCCUAGCUCAACUGGAUAGAGCAUCGGACUACGAAUCCGAAGGUUAGAGGUUCGAAUCCUCUGGGGUGUA
rnacentral:tRNA from 1 species